AAUGAUAAUGAAAAAUAACUUUAAUGUCUUGUAGCUUGUUGCAUGGGAACAUGUACACUCACUUAUUGUUUCCUGUUACAAAGUACGUCACAAACUUGCACCCCAGAGAUGACAGUAAUGACGCGGGGCAGCCAUUUAUG